AGCUCAGUGGUCAGAGCCGUCGGCUCAUAACCGACUGGUCCUAGCGCUACCUUCACACGGUAGAAGUCACUGGUUCAAAUCCAGUACGCCCCA
rnacentral:tRNA from 1 species